AGGACGAACGCUGGCGGCGUGCCUAACACAUGCAAGUCGAACGGGGAUUUGUUUCGGCAGAAUCCUAGUGGCGAACGGGUGAGUAACGCGUAGGCAACCUGCCCUCCGGCCGGGGACAACACUCCGAAAGGGGUGCUAAUACCGGAUACGAAGUCUGUGCCGCAUGGUACGGAUUUGAAAGAUGGCCUCUAUUUAUAAGCUAUCGCCGGGGGAUGGGCCUGCGUCCGAUUAGCUGGUUGGUGGGGUAACGGCCUACCAAGGCGACGGUCGGUAGCCGGUCUGAGAGGAUGAACGGCCACAUUGGGACUGAGACACGGCCCAGACUCCUACGGGAGGCAGCAGUGGGGAAUCUUCCGCAAUGGGCGCAAGCCUGACGGAGCAACGCCGCCGUGAGUGAGGAAGUUCUUCGGAACGUAAAGCUCUGUUGUUCCUGACGAACCUCCCCUCUAUCAACAACGGAGGGGACUGACGGUAGGGAACGAGGAAGCCACGGCUAACUACGUGCCAGCCGCCGC
rnacentral:rRNA from 1 species